rnacentral:lncRNA from 1 species
AGCCUGUCUUUAAUUUGCCUGUAUGCAUGGUACCCCUACAGUAGUGUGAGAGAGGCAACAGAUCAUUUAUAUAAAUUAGAAUCAGUAGGGGGCUGAGUACUGAGCCCAGAAGAAUACCCUCUAGGCAAGUGGAAAUUUUAGGGACUAAGGGCUUAAUCUUAACUGCUUGGCUUCUCUCAUCAAGCAUUUUGCCAGACAGCACUAAAAAAGCAGGAAAGGAUGACAAAGGAUGGAAGGCAAUUGAAAGAAAACCUCUGUCUCUCACAGGAGCCAAGAAAUCCAGAAGAAAAUUGAGACAGCAGAAGCAGAACUUCAGUGAGAACUAAGGGUGUCUUGAGACUACAGAGGAGAUGCUCACAGACAUUCAGAAGCUGGGAAUUCUGUAAAUUCCCAGUAGUCUAAUAAUCUGAUUCUUAGAAAGAUGAUGGGAAUUGCCUAACUGUUAGGGUCCACUGGACAAACAUUCUUCUGUUUCUCUAAUAUAUGGGACUUGCUCUUCAAUUUGGAAGGUGAGACAGCAGCACACAAUCCCUGCCAGUCUAUUGUGGUCAAGUCAAAGUCAGGUUCAGAGAGUCAGAAGCAAAAGAAUUGAAAACAAUGUGUAAUUUUGGCUACUUUUGAAUAACUUCCCAAACUAUAUUUUUUCCUCUUAUGUAUUUAUUUUCUAAAAUAAAAAGACAUAUAUUCUUUUUUAACCA